GGAACUCCAAAAUUGGAAAGGCAUUUUGGAGGUCAGCAGCAACUUUUAAAGCAGCUUCACGGCAGUCUUGAGAAAGGGUUUCAAGACCCAGCAGCAAUAACAUCAGCCUCAAUCAGAAUGUCUUGUAAGCCAGCAUCUCCAAAUCGCUUGCCAAUACAGGACAGGAAAGCCAUACAUGUGUGAAACUCCCCCAUUCUAAUUGUAAUCCCAGAUCCUCAGCCAUGCUGUGAGAUAUCUUCUUGACCU